GCCAGCGUAGUUCAGUCGGUAGAGCAGGCGCUUCGUAAGCGUCAGGCCGUCGGUUCGAGGCUCUGGCA
rnacentral:tRNA from 1 species